GAUGAACGCUGGCGGCGUGCUUAACACAUGCAAGUCGAACGAUGAAGGGAGCUUGCUCCUGGAUUAGUGGCGAACGGGUGAGUAACACGUGAGUAACCUGCCCUUGACUCUGGGAUAAGCCUGGGAAACUGGGUCUAAUACCGGAUAUGACCUUCCAUCGCAUGGUGGUUGGUGGAAAGCUUUUGUGGUUUUGGAUGGACUCGCGGCCUAUCAGCUUGUUGGUGAGGUAAUGGCUUACCAAGGCGACGACGGGUAGCCGGCCUGAGAGGGUGACCGGCCACACUGGGACUGAGACACGGCCCAGACUCCUACGGGAGGCAGCAGUGGGGAAUAUUGCACAAUGGGCGCAAGCCUGAUGCAGCGACGCCGCGUGAGGGAUGACGGCCUUCGGGUUGUAAACCUCUUUCAGUAGGGAAGAAGCCGCAAGGUGACGGUACCUGCAGAAGAAGCGCCGGCUAACUACGUGCCAGCAGCCGCGGUAAUACGUAGGGCGCAAGCGUUAUCCGGAAUUAUUGGGCGUAAAGAGCUCGUAGGCGGUUUGUCGCGUCUGCCGUGAAAGUCCGGGGCUCAACUCCGGAUCUGCGGUGGGUACGGGCAGACUAGAGUGAUGUAGGGGAGACUGGAAUUCCUGGUGUAGCGGUGAAAUGCGCAGAUAUCAGGAGGAACACCGAUGGCGAAGGCAGGUCUCUGGGCAUUAACUGACGCUGAGGAGCGAAAGCAUGGGGAGCGAACAGGAUUAGAUACCCUGGUAGUCCAUGCCGUAAACGUUGGGCACUAGGUGUGGGGGACAUUCCACGUUUUCCGCGCCGUAGCUAACGCAUUAAGUGCCCCGCCUGGGGAGUACGGCCGCAAGGCUAAAACUCAAAGGAAUUGACGGGGGCCCGCACAAGCGGCGGAGCAUGCGGAUUAAUUCGAUGCAACGCGAAGAACCUUACCAAGGCUUGACAUGAACCGGACCGCUGCAGAAAUGUGGUUUCCCCUUUGGGGCUGGUUUACAGGUGGUGCAUGGUUGUCGUCAGCUCGUGUCGUGAGAUGUUGGGUUAAGUCCCGCAACGAGCGCAACCCUCGUUCUAUGUUGCCAGCACGUGAUGGUGGGGACUCAUAGGAGACUGCCGGGGUCAACUCGGAGGAAGGUGGGGACGACGUCAAAUCAUCAUGCCCCUUAUGUCU
rnacentral:rRNA from 1 species